rnacentral:lncRNA from 1 species
UAUCUGUGGCAGAUGUUGAUCGGUGGAUUCUUCAUCUAACAAGAAGGUCUAUUAAAAAUCUUGAGCUGGACAUUUGGUUCGAGCAACGCUAUAACAUACCUUGGUGCUUAUUCUCUUGUCAAAGUUUACAUCAUUUAAAUUUGUUUUGUUCUUCGCUUAAACCUCCAGCGAUGUUUGAAGGCUUCAUGAACUUGAAAAGUCUUCAAUUGGAACAAGUUACAGUGGCUAAAGAUGCUUUUGAAAACUUGAUAUCUGGCUCCCCUUUGCUUGAAAAAUUGGUUUUGAAAAAAGUUGAUGGAUUCACUCAAAUUAACAUUCAUUCACCAAGUAUCAAGUAUGUUGACAUUAGGGGUAAUUUUGAGGGUAUUAGCUUUGACAACACCUCCCAACUAGCUAAGGUGUUUGUUAAUUUAAGUUCGUAUUUGAACUCUGAAACCGGUCAAAGUAUGUUCCAUGGAUGCUCUAGCAACUUGCUUAAAUUUUUCGAUCAUCUACACAACAUCCAGAGCCUACUGAUUGCUUCCUAUUCUAUAAAGGUAUACUGCUCAAGCAUAUGAAUGUUGAAUUUGACUGUAUGAGUGUGAUCAUGUGUAUGCAACUCUUGAUCUGUAACUGUAAGUAUUAGAAACAUUAUAUUCUGAUUUAGAGUCACUCUUCUGUUUUGCUUCAGUAUUUGGCUGCAGGUGUGGUGCCAGUAAAGCUUCCUACACUUUGUAUUAAUCUAACAUUUCUUUCCAUAUGCCUAAACUUCAACGACUUGACGGAAAUUUCGGCUGUUCUUUGCUUGCUCAAAAGCUCGCCUAAUCUUCAAACAUUCAAAAUGUUUGUGAGUAAUCAUUCAAAAUUUUGAUAUGAUGUAUAUCUAUCAUAUGCAUAUGAUAUUUUCCCUAUGCUGAACCAUGAAUUUGUAACAAUUGCAUGUAGGCACGACUUAAGGAGGAGACAGACCUUUUAACACACACCUCCUAUUGUUGGGAAGAUAUCUUUUCGGAGCCAGAUAUGCUCCUCAAAUUGCAACAUGUGGAGAUACAAGACAUCUCUGGUACCAAAUCUGAAUUAGAUUUUAUCAGAUUUCUACUUCUCUAUUCACCUGUGCUCAAAAAGAUGAUUGUGGAGCCUGUUGAAAACGUCAAACCGGAGUUGAUAACAGAACUAAUCCGGUUCAGGAGAGCGUCCGAACAAGCUGAAGUUAUUUACAAAGCAAAGGAUUCUUGAUAAUGUUUCUUAUUCAACACCUAUCUAGCUCUUCUGAAUUUGUACUUCAAAGAAAUAUUGGCCCCCUCACCCAAAACUAUAAGAGCAUCUCAUUCCAACUGUUAUUUGUGUUUUUAAGUGGAUUCAUUUUAUACAAUAUCACUUAUCUUUAGUUAAUAAAAUCCUAAAUCUUUCUACGACAAAAUUAUUAUGAAAUGUGUUCACUAGCUAGAUUUUACAUCCUAAUACUUUUAACAAUAACUCAUUAUGUAUGAAUUUGUAGUAUGUAUCAAUGAGUUGAAACUAUUUUGAUUACUCUAACAAUGUUUAGAUUUAAAUAUAAACAAAAAAUUAUUCAUAUCUUGUGGAGCAAAAUACAAUCAAAAUUUAUCUUUUGUAACAACUAUUUGGAUAGGUGUAAUAAUCCACUUUCUUGUCUAUAAAGUGUUUCAAAUUUUACCAAGAAAAAAAAAAGUGUUCAAAAUUUUUUCUCUGUAAAUUUUAAUGGCCUUUUUUUUUUUACCCCUUAUACUCACUUUAUUAUUUUCUAUAGAGAAUUCAAUGAAACAAGUCACCCUACAAAAUGAAAUAAAAUAGAAAGCAUUUAAAAAAGAUAGUUUAUGCCAAAGAAAAUGCAAUUAAUUAUACACAUUAAAAAAAGAAAUGAAGUUGUAAUGUAUCUGGCUCAGAAACCAAGAGAGAAUCCACUCUCUAACUCUCAAAUGAGAAACUCAAGUUUUAUAUAUUUCAAAUUGUGGUAAUACAUGAAGAAGUGGCCUUAUUUAUAGCAAUCCUAGAGGCCAUAUGGUAGCUGAAAUAGUGCUGAUAAUUAAUACAUCAAUGGAAACACAAUCUAGUAAAUGUCAAACAUGGUGGCUUGUUGGCCUUAUUGUCAAUAGUAGGGUGGGCUGCUCUUACUCUGUAUCAGUAUCCCCCCCCCCCCCCAAUGCCAUUCACUCUUUUUGUUUUAUAUUAGUAAGGAAAUACUCCUUCCGUCCCAAAUUGUACGACGUUUUGGGUAUUUCAUACGUAUUAAGAAAUGUAAUUAAUUUUGUGUGGGAAAGAAAUAUUAUGAGUUGUUUUACAAAAUUGUAAUUAAUAAAUGACAUGGGAAAAAUAAAUGAAUGAUUUGGAAUGAGAGAAAGUAAUAAAUAGUUAAGAAUAUAAUAGGAAAAAUAACGUUAAUGAUUCAUUGGUAUUGUAAAGCGACAUACAAUUUGGGAUAAUUUUUUUUCCCAAAGUGACGUACAAUUUGGGACUGAGGGAGUAUAUCCCAGCUUGUGAACCAAGUGCCUAGUUUCACAAAUUUUAUAACUAGAAUGUUGAUACAUUUCUAUAUCGCUUUAUUCCAUUUAUAUAUCGCUUUAUUCCAUUACUACCUCUACCAAUGACUAGAAUGUUGAUACAAUGUCUCUUGCUACCAUUUUUUCCAUAUUUGACAUGAAUAUUUUUUAAUACUAUUGACAUAUAACUUUCUUGUGUUUAGAAUGUAAAGAAUAUUUGAUGUAUGGAAUAUAUAAUAGUUAUACUAUCUAAUAACUUAGACAUUCACUUUUUUAGUGAUUUGUACUUUUCUAACUUAUUUAAAGUGGCUAACAAGUUAAGUGUGGUAAUAAGCUGUUUUAGGCAUGCUGAGUUGAUAUAAGCAAGAGUUGAGUAGAGAAGCUGAGGCUUCGCAAAAGGAAGAAGCUGUAAGCUGAGAAUAAGCUGUUUGCAAAGCUGUAAUAAGUAAAUUUUGGUCAGUUCCUAUUAGCUUAGAACCCUCCUUGGGUAGAAUUAUGUGUAUUUGUGUUGAAUUGCCCUUGUAUAAGCUAUAUUAGAGAACUUAUGAAAAUAAGUUGAAAAAAGCUAAUGAAAAUUGUCAUAAACUAUUUCAUAAGUUCUCUUAAAUAGUCUAACAAAACUUUUGGACUAUUGUAGAACAUUCUUGUAAUUGUAAUUGUAACCACACCAUUAUCUUAGUGGACCUAGCUAGCUAUGAUUCUUGUAUGUACACAUAGAUACCUCUAUACACUAACCUAGUUUGUUUUCUGAUUCGUGUAUGUACCUUUGUUUGAACAGGGAAGAAAACAAACAAAGUCUUCUCCCAGAAAAAUGAUUGAUGUGGAACCGGAUCCGGAUAGAAUUAGUUGCUUACCUGAUCAUGUAAUAGAUCAGAUUCUAACUUACGUGCCAAUUAGGGAAGCAGCGAGAACAAGUGUUUUAUCUAAAAAAAUGGAGGAACAAAGGGUACACACUACCAAAUCUUGUCUUUGAUAGUCAAUGUGUCUCUGCUGCAGCUUCCAAAGACCUGUUAGUUAUCGCUAGGAAGUUUUUGAAAUUUGCUGAUCAUGUCCUUUUACUUCAUUAUGGGCCAAUCAACAUGUUCAAGUUCUCUGAGUGUGCUCUCAUUGAUGAGAGUCUUGUGUCUGAUGUUGAUCAGUGGAUUCUUCAUCUAACUAGAAGCUCUAUUAAAGAGCUUGUGCUGGAAGUUUGGAUAGAGGGAUACUCCAAGAUACCUUGGUGCUUAUUCUCUUGUCAAAGUUUACAUCAUUUAAAAUUACAUUGGUGUUGUCUUAAACCUCCAACGACGUUUGAAAGCUUUAAGAGUUUGAAGAGUCUUGAUCUGAAUCUAGUAACAGUGGCUCAAAAUGAUUUCGAAAAUUUGAUAUCUGGCUGCCCCCUGCUUGAAAAAUUUAAAUUCACAGAAGUUGAUGGCUUCACCCAAGUUAAUAUCCGUGCACCAAAUCUCAAGUUUUUGAAAAUCAAUGGUGAAUAUGAGGAUAUUAACUUUGAAAAUACUUUCCAAUUAUGAGUUUAGAUGAUACAUUACCUGAUAUUUGAUGCUUGAUGAGCGUAGAAACUUGCUUCCUGACGAUUUGCAAUGAUUUGGAAUGAAGAUUUUGACCUAAAAUUUUGCACUUUUUGGGUUUUUGAAGGUGGAGGGAAAGAAAAUGGUGCUUGGAGUAUGGACUGGUGGGCUUUGUACAAAAACAGUAACUCUGUGUGACUUAAGUAGCGCAGGGGUAAAUAUGUAAAUUCAGUUGGGCGCAGGUGAAUUUUGUUGGGUAAAGAGCAGAAUUCAUUCUAUUUUGUCUCACAUCUCACUUGUCUCCUUUUAACAGAUUUCCCUUAUCACCCUGGCAACUUUGGCAAUUCUGUUUUACCACUAGCCACCUCAGCAUUCCCUUUCUUUCUCUUGUUUUUCCUCACUUUACUCCCUACAAACUUUAUUCCCAACACUUGGGUCUUUUCUGUAGUUAUCAAUUAUCACAUCCAUGUUACUGUCCAUACUUCAUAGAUACAUAUAGAUGGAAAAUAAUGCUAAAUUGGACAUUAGAAUGAGCUCAGAUACAAAAAUUAUAUUAUAGGAUAAUGAUGAUAUAAACUCCUAAGAUAUAACAAAACAAAUUAUAUCAGACAUAAAGAACUUUGUUUUGGUGGAGGGAGAGGAAUUUAUUAUUAUUGUUAAUUGUUAAAUAAAUAAAAAAAUUAGUAGCCGAUCUUUCCCAGGCGCUACAUUUCAUGCUGCUUCUCUCCAUCCACCGGCACUUCGUCAGUCCUCAGAUGAUAAUGUUCUUUCAGUAGUUUCCAUGCAUUUGUUUCUGAGUUUUCACCUUGCACAUAACUUAUCAACUCGUCACAGGUAGCUUGAGAAAAAUGACCUUGUUCCCUACAUGUCCCAAGAAUCUCCAAUGCCAACCCGAAAUCUCUCUUUUCUUUCAUGUGCUCAAUACAUGCAGCAAAAGUAAAUGGGUAAGGUUUCCAUCCUUGUGGACUUGCCAAUAUUGCUUUCUUCAUUGUAUGAACUGCUUUAUCCGUAUCGUUAUACAUAUAAUAGCCACACGACAAACGAUCCCAUAUUCUUCCAUCUAAUUUACCCCCUCCUCUUUUCAAAAGCUUCUCAACAUAUGCUUCAGCCUUUUCCAACAGACCAUUCUUACAGUAAGCACCCACCAUCGCACUUGGAAUUCUGACAUCGAAGCAUGUAUUCCCAGAUUCCCAUUCCUCUAGAAUCGUCUCAGCACCAUCAAUGUCAUUUAGAUUGGAUAAUGACAUUAACAUAGAAAUGUAGGUUGAAUUUUGGGAACCAUUUAAGCUUUUGCAGAUAUUCCAAAUUCUAUACACAUCGUCCUUUUUCCCAGUAGCAGCAUACUUAGUUAGAAGAGAUUGAUACGCAGCUCUCUUCGACUUUCCUCUAAUCAACUGUUCAGAUUUUUUCAACACUAUCAACGACUUGUCAAAUUGGCCAGCUUUAAUAUAUCCAUCAGCAACAGCAGAAUACGUUCGCCAGUUCAAAGUUAUGCUGUGAUCAACUUCGAUCUUCGCCAAUAAUUUCUCCAUCUCGUCUAUGUUUCCAGUAAUCGCAUAAGCAUUGAGCCAACUAUUAAGUGUAGAACUGUCGUAAAUUUUCUUGUCUUUCAUUUCUUUCAUCAGAGCAACCAACUUCUCUCGUUGACCUGUCCGAUAAUAGAGCUUUAACAGAACAGGAUAGUCUUGUGCAUUAUCAUCGGAAGAAGACUCUUUUAAUUUCUUCAUGAUGUAUUCUACCUUCUCAACAGAGUUGUAUUGCGCAUAGCAAUUCAACAUAGCACCAUAGACCUUGAAAUCUUUUGAAGUGUGUGGAACACUGUUAAAAUAUUUCUCUGCUUGAUCUAGACCGUGGACUUUAGCUAUCAAGUCGAGACGUGUCGCAAUAUCUCCUGAUAAUAAAUGAAGGUUUCUUUCAUUGCUCAUCCAUUCUGAUAUCUACCACAAGCAAAACAAACAAUUGUUUAAAAAAGGAUCUUUGAUCUUAGAACAAGCUUAGAAACAAGCAAGCAUAGGAAGCCAUAAACAGUAUAGUUAAAAAAGAGUAACAAAUCAGAGAGUGACAAAUCAUUCAUGUUGUUAGCUAAUAUUCAACAAUCAUCCUUAUUUACCGAUGCUACGACUGCAAUUCACUUUCGAGAAACAAAGCAAGCAAAUUAUUUUCUACAAAUAGGUAGCAUGUUUCAUAAGUAAAGGAUAAAAGAGGAAUAAACAAUUAUAAUUUAUUCUGCUGCGUUCACUUUUCAAACACUGAAGUGAGAAUUUUGUUCCAUUCCAGUCAUAAGGUUUUAAAAAACAGUCCGUUACCAAGAAAAAGGUCGCGCCAAAAAGGUAUAGGUAGCGGACGGCACUGUUAUUUAGUUUAUUUUAUUUACAUUAUGUGCAUUGUUGUGAUUAAUUCACACCGCGACAACCGCGAUCUGUAUCGCAGCACUCGUAAAGUAACAGCCAAAUGGCACGAAAUCGCGAAACCCUGACCGCGACAGUUAUUCAAAACCUUAUGACUGAUGUAUUCCACUCUAUUCCGCUCCGCUCAUUCUAAAGUCUAAACUAUUGAAUCAUAGAGGGAAAUUAAAUAACAUUAUCAUAUCAUAAACUAUUAUAAAAUGAAAGCAUUGAAUCAUGAAUGUGAUUGGACCUGGAGGGCUUGUUUGAAGCGACGACGGAUUCUGAGUUGUUUGAUGAAAAAGUGUAUAUCAGAAUGGCUGACAUCUCUGCCUUCUUGAAUCCACUGAUUGAGGAUAGAAGUGAUGGGAAUGAUUGGGUCACCGGCUCUGGAAAUUCGAAGGAAGAGGGUAUCAGUAGGGGUCGAAGAGGAAUGUAAGAAACGCAAAAGGGUGGUGUUGUAAUGGUUCCAUCUUGAUCUUGACGACCCAAUUAACUUCAGCAUUUUCUUUUCUGCUCCAAACGAAAAGGAAAAGGGGAGGGUUUAAGGGUUUUGGUUUAUCAACUUCACAAUUCACAUCACGAUAUUAUAGGCAAUGUUGAAAAAAUGAUUGGUUCGGUUUGAAUUGAUUAGGUUUGCGAUUUUUGUUUUGGGUUGGUUCGAUUUUGAACAUCCUCAGAUGUACGCAUAGUUCAACAAGUUAUUUUGACGUUCAAGAUUUUCAUGAUUUUUUUAAAAUAUUAACACAAAAUUAGAUUUUUUUUUUUUUUUUAACUAAGGAUAGAUUAACUAUGAAUUUUUAUUCACUGUAAUUAUGGAUUUCUCAAACAAUUCAUAAUUAAUCCAAAAAUUCAUUAUGACAGUUCUUAUGAUGUUAUAAUCAUGCCUACAAAAUUUAACUCGUGAGUAUACACUUUCUCUAAUUUUGCACGUUUUGGUUGAAAAAUUAAAAUAAAUCGAAACAUCUUCCAAUAACUUUGCAGAAAUCUUUUAUGUAUUUUUAUAAAUGUAUUUGCAAAAAAAUCCCCUCAAAAUUCGAUUUUUAGGUCGAGAUUUCCGAUGUUUUGUUUUUUGAGCUUUUUGGGUAUCGACUGACCUUUGCUUUGUAAUUAUACAGUGACUGUUUGUUUUUUGGGGUGACCUCUUUAGUACACCUUGUGCUCUAGAGAAACUAUCGUCGGUGUUAAUAUAUUCCAUUUUUUAUUCUUCUAAAAAAAGAGUACAAUGUGGUAGUUUAGGGAUUAGAAAUCGUUAGAUUUCUUAGUUGUUUGAAAAUUGCACUCUAUGUGUUUGGUAAAAUGUCUCAAUGAAUUUUUUGUUUUUGUUUUUUGGAUUACUAAUGAUAAAAUUAGUUAGAAUAUGGUUUGUUAAUGUUGAUUAUAGUAUGUUUGAUUGCAAUGUGGUAGUUUACAGUAGAGCUGUUAAAACGGGCGACCCGGCCCUAGCGUGCUUCGGGCUUUAGCGGGCCGGGCCAAAAAGCUCGGUUGACAAAACGGGCUUGAAAUAUACUACCCGAGCCCGGUCCUACACGGGCCGCAGGCUAAACGGGUCGGCCCGUAUUAAAAAUUAUAUUUUUUAUUUUAAAAAGUACUAUAAAACACUACUAUAAUUUUUUUAUAAAUAAUAUUUUUNAGGGGUAGAGGUCGGAGGGGAGAUGACUCAGGAAGCUCUCAGGCUACACAGCCUGAGGAGUCACAGGUUGUUGACCCGUCACAGCCUGUUGACCAGACUGGGGUGGAGUACCUGAACUAUCAGGAUCAGGUACAGCAUGAUGUGACGGAUGGUGGAUAUGACCAAGAUCAUAUACCACAAAAGCAGGAUGAAGGAGACGAGGAUGACAUUGCAGCAGCUGCUGCACCGGAGGUGUUACCUGUGGACCCUCCCUUUCCUGGUGGACCGACUGACUUGUCUUUGCUCCACUCUUAUGCCGGUCAUGUGGCGUUGCCACUCUGGUAUAAUUCAAAUAAUGUAAGUGUAUUUUUUUUAAAUGUUUUUUGUUUAUGUUAAAAUAUUUUCUUUAAUUUAAAUGUGUGUUUGUUUAAUUAUUAUAUCCACUUUUAUAUGUGUUUUUUUUUAAUUCUAUUUUUUAUGUUUAAUUAUUUUCUUUAAAUGUGUGUUUGUUUAAUUAUUAUAUCCAGUUUUAUAUGUGUUUUUUUUUUUAAUUCUAUUUUGUAUAUUUAAUUCUUUUCUUUAAAUGUGUGUUUGUUUAAUUAUUAUAUACACUGUUAUAUAAAUAUUUUUUUAAUUCUAUUUUUUAUGUUUAAUUGUUUUCUUUAUAUGUGUUUUUGUUUAAACCAUAUUUAUUUUUCUAUUAUUUCAGGUUCGUAAGAUCCACGUGCUUAAACCGAUUAAUCAUGGGGCCAAGAUUCUCACUCUCGGUCGCCCUAACGGGAAUGAGAAUUGGUUUUGGGAUCCGCUUAAGCAGAGCGGGCUACAUGAUUUNGAAUAAAUAUAAUUUUAUAUUACAUUUAUAUUUGUGUUAAUUCAUUGAAUUUUCACUUUUGUUUUUUACUUAGAUAAUCAACUAAGUAAAUAAUUAUUUGAAAAAUAUAUAUAAUUUAUAGAAUUUUUUUUUGUUAUGCGGGCUAACGGGCUACCCGCGGCCCAUUCGGGCUAGCCCUAACGGAUACCGGGGCUGGGCUAAAAAGCCCUAUUCAAAUUCGGGCUCAAUAUUUUAGGCCCAAGCCUUAUAUUUAUUCGGGUUAAACGGGCCGACCCGUUUUGACAGCUCUAGUUUACGGAUUGAAAUGACAUUGCUGAAAUAUAAGUGUUGUUGUUAAAUUGUUAGAAAUGAUACAAUGUCCGUAUGAAAAUGUCUCAUUGAUUUUUUGCUUUUUGAAAUGUUGUGUAGAUAUGUCUCGGAGGAAUAUGUCUCAGAGGCUUGAGAAGAGGAGUGACAGACUUAGGUUAGGGAGAGUGCAGUCCUCUACUAGUAGGUGCACGGAGGAAAAAGGAUGCACUACGCCCUCCUUUGGCUCGUCGAGGUCGAGGGGGAACGAGACUUGGUAGAGUUGAUGUUGUGGGGGAUCAUUGUCACAAACGAGUCUAUUCCAGACAGUGGACUCGACACAGUAUCAAUGAUUGCUUUAUUUUUCGUUAUUUUAAUUAUGAGUGAUUGCUUGAUUGAAUGAAUGAAUGCUUGAGUGAAUGAUAAAAAAUGUACGCAAUUGACUCAAUGAAUGUAUGAAUGAAUGAGGGAAUGAAAAAAAUUAAGGAAAAUAGAUGUUUUUUCCUAUUCUAGCAUGUUGCACACAGUGAACGUGAGUUAAAAAGUGCAAGGACCAGAGUCAAAAUAAGGUGAAAGUGCGUCGACCAAAGAGAUAUUCAAGCCAUUAAAGAAUAAUUCUACAAAUAUAUGUCUAGUUUUGAGUUGUUCCCUACUGUUGACUCGUUGACCGUACAGUUACUGUGUAAACCCUAAAUUGGAACCACUCCUUAUUCCCAUUCCAUUUUUCGGUAAGAAGAUUUUUGGUUCUUCAUUAUUUCUUUCUUCCACUACUUCUCGUUCAUUUCAAUUCCUUACUUCUUUAUUAUUAUGUUUUCAAAUUAAUUAAUGUUUUUGUUUGUCGUAGGCGUAACACAUUCAGAAUAUUAUUGCAUAUUAUUUUCCUGGAACUACUCAAUCGGUAACUUCACAUGGUAACUCUCUAAUUUCUUUCUGAGUUCAAUUUGCAUUUCAUGUGUUAAUUCUGUAUGGACUGACCUAUCACACAACAUUAUAUUUGUUCUCGUGCCAAAUUAUGACACUAUGGGUCUGUUUGGAUAAACACCUUAUUUGUAGUUUUUAUCAUAAGCACUUAUGUAUAGGCUUGCAUAAUCUAUUUUUACAACAAAAGAUAAAAUAAUGUUAAAUUGCUUCUAUAUAUGCUCUAAGUUGUUUUUCUAAGCUAUAUUGGAAAACUUAUGAAAAUUGUCAUAAACUGUUUUCAUAAGUUCUCCCAAAUAACAAAACUUCUGCUAAUAGAUAAGCUCAAAUAAGAAAAUCCAAACAUGCCCUAUAUAUGAGUAUGACAUUAUUGUAAAACAUUCUUGUAUUGCAAGUGUAACCACGCCAUUUUAUAAUUUAAACUCGUAAGAGUAAAUUAUUGUGGUGUUUUUAUUUAUUUAUUUACUGAAGGUACCUUAGUUUGAGUUUCAAGGUUCUCUCAUAGUGGACCUGAUUCUUGUAUGCAUACAUAGAUACCUAUAUGCACUAACCUAGUUUGUUUUCUGAAUUGUGUACUUACCUUUGUUUGAAUAUGAAUAUAUCUAUCUCCAGGGAAGAAAACAAACAAAGUCUACUCCCCGAAAAGUGAUUGAUGUGGAACCAGAACCGGAACCGGAUCCUGAUAGAAUAAGUUGCUUACCAGGUCAUGUAAUAGACCAGAUUCUGACUUACUUGCCAAUUAGGGAAGCAGUGAGAACAAGUGUUUUAUCUAAAAAAUGGAGGAACAAAUGGUACACACUCCCAAAUCUUGUGUUUGAUAGACAAUGUCUCUCUGCUGCAGCUUACGAAGACACGUUAGUUAUUCAGAUGAAAUUUUUGAAAAUUGUUAAUAGUGUACUUUUACAUCAUUCUGGGCCAAUCAACAUAUUCAAGUUCUCUAUGUGUGCUCCCAUUGAUGAGAGUCUUGUGUCCGAUGUUGAUCAGUGGAUUCUAUAUCUAAGUAGGAAGUCUAUUAAAGAGCUUGUGCUGGAUGUUUGUACAGAGGAACUCUACAAGAUACCUUGGUGCUUAUUCUCUUGUCAAAGUUUACAUCAUUUGAAAUUACAUUUCUGUUGUCUUAAACCUCCAACGUUGUUUAAAGGCUUUAGGAGCUUGAAAAGUCUUGAUCUGAAUCAUGUAGCAGUGGCUCAAGAUGCUUUUGAAAACUUGAU